UUAAACAUUAAAUAUACUAAAAUUGGAACAAUAUAGAGAAGAAUGGCCCUCACACAAGGAUAACAUACAGAUUUGUGGAAACAUUCUGCGUCUUU
rnacentral:snRNA from 1 species